AAGGACUUACAUGAGGGGGCACUGGGAGGAAAGGAAGGGCUGAUAAUGGGCUGUAAAGUGAAUAAAUAAAUUUAAUAAAAAAUAUUGAUGUGUAUGCAUGCUUUCUCUGUGUGUAUGUGAAUGCAUCAUAUGUGUGCCUGGUACCUGUGGAAGUCAGAAGAGAGUGUUGGAUUCCCUGGAACUGGAGUUAUGGGUGAUUGUGAGAUACCAUGUGGUGCUGGGAACUGAACCUAGGUCCUUUGCAAGAGCAACAAAUGCUCUUAACUGCUGAGCCAGCUCUCUGGGCCCUAUAUAUUAUUUAUUUAUUUACUUAUUUACUUAUUUACUGAGGAGGAUGUAUCGCAGUGAGUGUGUGGAGGUCAGAAGACAACUCUCCAGGAAUUGGUUCUUUAUUUACACAUUGUUAAGGCAGGGUCUGUCUCCCGUGUUUUUGCUGCUGUGCUGGGUAUGAAAGCCUCACCCCAUCCCAAUUCUCUGGUCCCUACCUUCCAUCCCCCACCAUCCUGCUGGCCCUAGUUUAUGUCUUCUAGAAAUUACUCUCCUAGCUAAUAUCUAAAGGGUGGGAAUUACCCAUGUCAUUUUUGAGAGUACAGUAUCAUGCAUUUGGAAUUUUAUAUGAAAAAUAAGUAUCUCAUUCCAGUUGAUAAGUUCAGGUUAUUUGCUUGCAUUGGAAUAGAUUCAUAGAUAGCCUCUGCUACUGUUGGUUAUGAUGUAAUCCUGUGUAUGUGUAUAGUUUGUGAGGGCAUUAUGACACACUGUGGGCUUAGGUAGCGUGAACAAUAGGAAUUCAUUGCCUCAGAAUUGACUCAAGCUAAGAUCAAGGCUGUCUGCAAGGGCUGUUUUGUUUUCUUUGUCUUCACCUUCUUUUGUGUAUGAAUCCAUUCCAAAUCCCCUGUUUAAUGUAAGGACCCUUUUAUCUUGGAAUAGGGCCCACUUGUUUUUGGAGGUGGGGUAUGGUCUCUCUGUGUAGCCCUUGCUAUCCUAAAACUCAGAGCUCUGCCUGCCUCUGCUUUCUAAACGCUGGGGUUACAGGCCUUUUAUUUUGAAUAUUUUAUUAAAAAUUUUUUUAAAAACUGAGCUAACUGGAAGUUUUUGUUCAGUCUUGUGUAACCACUAAAAUUUCUCAGAUGUUUAAUAGUUUAGCGUGCUUCAUUCUUAUUUGUUUUCUAAAGUAAUUCAGAGGUUGGCAAGAACAAAGAAUCCAAUGGUGGGGCCUAGUGCAACAGUCUGGUUUCUUACAGGGUAGCCCAUUCUGAUGCUUCCUAGGGUCUUUAAACUCCAUUUUUCAGUUGGCAAGUUUCCUGGAGUUCUCCUUAGUUUUCUUAUUCUGGUCUUUCUCUGCCCGUCCCACCCCACCCCCUCUUACUUUCCUCUCUCCACACCUCCCUCCCUCAUUUCCCUAACAUUUAGAUUUUAUCAUAGCACACUGAGGGAUGACUGGCUCAGUGGGUAGGCAUUAUGAUACUGUCUCAAAGGGGAAUGCUGUAGUUUUGACCUCAAUUGUGUUCCUUUGCAUUUAAGUUAGGUUUAGAGAAAUACAAGCCUCCAAAAGUGAAAUGUGCAUAGGCAUGAAGUAUUGCCGCUGACACCUGCUAUGCAAAAGUUGGCAAUGAGCCUUGGAGUUAAUAGCAGGUACAGAGAUUUUGGUGGCUGAGAGAAGGCCUUUGGGAGAACCAAGAAAUAGUUGGUGUAGGGGCGUUGUUCUGUUUGUGGAUAUGUGUGUGAAGCUGUAUGUGGGAAAAUGCUGUUCUAGGGUGUAAAAGUAUCAGUUCUUUCUGCAUCUUCUCUGCCUGUUGAAAAUGGAGUAUCGAUAGCCAUUACAGAUGGCAUGUAACACUGUUAAUGUCAGCCUCACCUGUUACCUAAUUAUAAUUUUAGUAGUUUUUAGUAUUACCCUUUAUUAUAUGAGUAGUGGAAGGAAACUGUUGGCUCUACUAAUGAAAAUGUAGCUAUGAAGGAGAAUGAUUGAGAACACAACCAAAGGUACAAAGACUGUUGUGGGGUGUGUGUGUGUGUGUGUGUGUGUGUGUGUAACCUGACACAUUUAGCUCCUUUUUUGCCCAUGUAAUAUAUACAUUUAUAUACAUUUCAAUUAUUCUGUCAUACUGGAAAACACCUCUCCCAGUAAAUCUUUUAGCGUUAGAGGUAUUUUUCACCCUUCACGGUGGUAGAUUAAGGUUUUACAAAUAGUUUAAAAAGUUACUCACUGCACUAUCUGAUGAUGAGUCAUGUAUAUAAGAGAAAUGAACUAAGUUUUUGGCUUAUGAGUGUUGUGACUAUUGAAAGAGCACUCUUAGAAGCUAGAUGGCUCCCUUUUCAGAGCCACAUUGGGUUCCCAGUAUUCAUGACAGAUAUGGCUUACAAAGACCUGUAACUCCAUCUGUAGAGGAACCCAAAUGCCUCUGGCCUCCACAAGUACCUGUU
rnacentral:lncRNA from 1 species